rnacentral:rRNA from 1 species
UACAGAGGUCACGAGCGUUGUUCGGAUUCACUGGGCGUAAAGGGUGCGUAGGUGGUUGGGUAAGUCUGAUGUGAAAUCUCCGGGCUCAACCCGGAAAUGGCAUUGGAUACUAUCUGGCUAGAGGUUUGGAGGGGGGACUGGAAUUCUCGGUGUAGCAGUGAAAUGCGUAGAUAUCGAGAGGAACACCAGUGGCGAAGGCGAGUCCCUGGACACAUAUUGACGCUGAGGUGCGAAAGCGUGGGGAGCAAACAGG